GCCUGCAGUUAGGGAGGACACAGGGGGAAAAUGUUACUCAGAGUUAACAUUUAAUAAAAGCAAAUGGCUGUUAUAAAUAAAUGCACAUAAUGAAACUGAGUGAUAAAGUUCUGGAAAGAAGAAAACCAAGGAUGAUUUGUAUCAUUUAAUCACUAAUUGUAUUUUCUUCCUAGCAAAUAUAUUUAGAGGAAAGCAACUUGACAAAUCAGACUAGGGACAAAGAGGGGAGAAAUGUUAAAUUUAAAAUAUUUAUUCUAAUGCAUAUGUGGGACACAUGCCUCCACUUGAAUAAAAACGUUGGCUGGUGGUAUAGUUUCGUGGUAGAGCACUUGCCUACUAUGCGCAAGAUCUUGAGUUUGAAAAAGAAAUUGAUUAGCUUUUCCAGUUCUUAACAUUUGCACAGAAUACAACUUCGCCUGGAUGCUAGAGAAGGGACAAGUAGAGGCAAGCGACAAGCUUGGGGAGGAAUUCUCUGCAUGACUGCUUGUAUCUCACCCUGCUGGAGGAGAUUGAUGACUAAUACACAUAACCACAGUGUAUCACGGGAAGCAGGUGUAACAGACAGACAGACAGACAGACAGACUUCUUUUUAUAGAUCUAUUGUUCCAUAGAAUAAAAGCAGGUUAUUACUGUUUAUAUGGCUUGAAGGUAAUAAGAUAAAGUAACUAUAAUAUUUUCGUAUUAUUCAGUACUAUAUGCCAGAAAUUAUGCUCAGAGUUUUACAGGAAUUAUUUCACUCACUCCCACAAUACCGCCUUUCAGUAAAUAUGGUCACAGACCCUGAUAGAAAAUGAGCAAAUCAAGGAGCUGAGAGAUGAAGGAGUACUGACCAGCUAAUGACCAAGCAGGCAACAGAGCAUUCAACACCAAGUCUGGCCGUAAAGCUGCCCUGCCUCAAGUUCCCGCAGUGACAGACUGAUUGUGACAUUGAAGUCUAAGAUGAAGGAACCCUUUCCUCCCCAUGCUGCUUUUGGUCAUGGUGUUUAUCACAGCCACCGAAAGCUUAACUAAGACAACUUUCUCUCUAUCAGGUAUGAUCCCAAGCAGUAGGGGAAAUGAAAAAGGAGACAAAUAACAUUCUCCCAAAACACUCUGUCCUUCCUGUACAGUGACAGUCACGUAGCACAAAAACGACCAUCUGUAUGCGCUUGUGUGGUGGAGGGAGUGUCAGGGUGAGGAAAGACUUACAAAAACCAAUGUGUCUCCAAGGUCACAGCAUUUACCUCUGCAGCCGCGAGCAAAAUAAAGUAGUCGCAUAUUAUGAUGUAGACUUGUUUUAUUGUAAACUUUUUGUUUGAGAUAGGGUCUAUAUAUGCAGCCCUGGCCGUCCUAGAACUCACUACACAGACCAGGCUGUCCUGGAGCUUACAGUGUUCUGCCUGCCUCUGCCUCCCAGGGGCGGGAAUAAAAGUAUACACCUUGGUUUAUUUUAUACUUUAGGGAAGUAGAAAAAGAAAACAUUUUCAUAAAAUUUAGAGAUCACUUGUCAUUUUCUUCUAAAUUUCGGAGAAAUUGCUUUAAAAUAAACGCUUUUAAAUGUUGCAUUAAGUAUGCAUGUGUGUACACAUGUGUGCACCUGUGUAUACACAUAGAUGUAGGUUACAUGUGUGUACAUGUGUGUAUACAUAUGUGUGUGUACACGCAUGUGUGUUUGUAGCGUGUGCAUGUGUGUAUACAUAUGUAUAUGUGCAUGUGUGUACUGUGCGUGUGGGUUGCCUGUGAACAUGGCGAGGCCAAGUGACGUCAGUUGUUCUUCUCUGUCGCUCCUUUAUUCCUGGGAAAGAUGGAUUUCCAGUUUUACCAAUGUGCUGGAGGCUGGAGUAAUCGUCCUGUCACCUCUGCCCUGCCCUUCCUUCUCCACACCCAGUGCUGGGACAACAGGCUCUGUCGCCAAGCCCGUUUUUAUGUAGGUGCUGGGGACCCAAACUCACGUUCUACAGUUGCAUAGUAACACCCUUUCCGCUUGAGCAUUCUCCCCAGCUCUGGUUUUUAAAAUGUAAUGAAUCAAACAUGACAGAAGAUAGGUAAUUAGAUGAUAAUGUGUGGCUCAAGAAAUAUUUUUCAUUUAGAACUUUUAAAACUCGUCAAAACUGAAAUUAUUAUAAGGACUUAGAGGGUUCCUACCUGGACUGUAGCUUUAGGGAUCCAUGAUAAAGCAAUAAAUACUUUCUCCAUAAAACGAAAGUUAGCAAAAGACAUCAGCACGAAAGUGGCUAAGAUUCGAACAAGCAGUGCCAAACACAGGGUAGCAAUGCACAUGCCUAGAACACACAUAAACACACAUAAACACAUGUAAAAAACAAAGCUGGUUUUGCCGAGAGAGGAGUCCUAAAACUUCUGAAAAUAUGUUCAGGCUCUUGCUUCUUUCCAUCUAGUUUUAGUUAAAAACAGUAACUAUAAAAAGUCUAAAGUAAGAACGGGGUGGUUGCUGUUGUGUGCCUGUGUGUGCAGGAGGUGUGCUGGGGUGUGCAUGUGCACUCACGCAGCCUGAGGUGAGUGGUGGUGUCUUCCUCCAUGGCGUCUUUGGGAGACUUAGUACUUACUAUCCCGGCAAGCCUCAGGGAUCCUCUGUCUCUCCUCCCACUGUGGCUGAGACUGCUUUUGGCAUGGGUGCUGGGAAAGGAUCAAACAUAGUCCUAAGGAUUGCAUGACUAGCAAUUUACCUGCCAAGCCAUCUCCGCAGCCUCUGUGAAGGCUGCUAUCUAAAGUAUUAGAUGAGGUCAUGGCGGGAGAACCAUGGCGGGGGCGAGACAUGACAUUCUGUUCAUUCGAUUUAUUUUGACUGGGAUCUAUUUAAUUGUGAACUAACGUUGCUGGGGACAUGUUUAGAGGAAUGCAGUCAGAAGCAUCUAACAGUGUCUAGUGUUUCCUGUGGUCUACUUCUUGGGAUCACUUGGGAGACAGAUGGGGUUGCCUUUGACUGAAAACAAAGACACGUACAAGGUGGAAAAAAGAGUAGAUGUGGCCAGUGUCAUCUUUGAAGGUCUUUAAAGCUACUCAGAGACAAAAAUAAAGCAUUUAUCAUGUAAAAAUCUUGUAUUUUCAACCUUCUGUCCUUAUGCAGACUUACCAAUAGUUUUCGAUUCAAGAGAUUCAACAGACACUUCUGUUCCAACUAAGCCAAAAAGAAGCGGCUGAAAAAUAUUCCAUGUGUUUGCAACAAGUUUUUGGACUCCAACCUAUGGGAAAGAGAAAUAAAAUGAAUGUGAGCUGGGUAGGCAAACUGUCAGUGGGUGAAGCCUGCCACAAAGCCUGACGACCUGAAUCUGAUCUCGGGACUCUCCCAUUGGAAAGGGACAGUGGCUUCUCUCGGACUCCACAGCAAAAUGCUUACCAGACUCUACCUGAAAAGUGAGGAAAACGGUCCCUCCAACAACUCUGAUGCAAGUCACCACAUUACGAGCUGAGGCAGGAAGAUGACAACUACGGAGUUCAAAGCCAGCCUCAGCUAUAGAGUGAGACUUUGUCUCAAAAUUGCCACCAACACUACCCAACCUGGUCUAAAACCUCUGUCAACAGGAAUGGAGGCACUUUUAAAUCAGAAAAUAUGGAAGAAUAAAUGGGAACUUAUCUGUU